rnacentral:rRNA from 1 species
GAGUUUGAUCUUGGCUCAGAGCGAACGCUGGCGGCAGGCCUAACACAUGCAAGUCGAGCGGCCGUAGCAAUACGGCAGCGGCAGACGGGAGAGUAACACGUGGGAACGCGCCCUUCGGUUCGGAAUAACUCAGGGAAACUUGAGCUAAUACCGGAUACGCCCUUACGGGGAAAGAUUUAUUGCCGAAGGAACGGCCCGCGUCCGAUUAGCUAGUUGGUGAGGUAAUGGCUCACCAAGGCGACGAUCGGUAGCUGGUCUGAGAGGAUGACCAGCCUCACUGGGACUGAGACACGGCCCAGACUCCUACGGGAGGCAGCAGUGGGGAAUAUUGGACAAUGGGCGCAAGCCUGAUCCAGCCAUGCCGCGUGGAUGAUGAAGGCCCUAGGGUUGUAAAGUCC